CCUACGAGAGGCAGCAGUGGGGAAUAUUGCACAAUGGGGGAAACCCUGAUGCAGCGAUGCCGCGUGGCGGAAGAAGGUUUUCGGAUUGUAAACUCCUUUUAUCAGGGCCGAUACUGACGGUACCUGAAGAAAAAGAUCCGGAUCACUACGUGCCAGCUGCAGCGGUAAUACGUAGGGAGCGAUCGUUGGCCGGCAUUACUGGGCGUAAAGGGAGAGUAGGCGGGACGGGAAGUCCGAUGUGAAAACUGUGGGCUCAACUUUCAGACUUCAUUUGAAACUGGUGUUCUUGAGUGAAGUUGAGGUAAGCGGAAUUCGUAGUGUAGCGGGGAAAUGCGUAGAUAUUAGGAGGAACAUCGAUGGCGAAGGCGGCUGACUGGGCUUUUACUGACGCUGAGGCUCGAAAGCGUGGGGAGCAAACAGGAUUAGAUACCCGAGUAGUC
rnacentral:rRNA from 1 species